rnacentral:rRNA from 1 species
GAUGAACGCUGGCGGCGUGCCUAAUACAUGCAAGUCGAGCGAACAGAUAAGGAGCUUGCUCCUUUGACGUUAGCGGCGGACGGGUGAGUAACACGUGGGUAACCUACCUAUAAGACUGGGAUAACUUCGGGAAACCGGAGCUAAUACCGGAUAACAUUUGGAACCGCAUGGUUCUAAAGUGAAAGAUGGUUUUGCUAUCACUUAUAGAUGGACCCGCGCCGUAUUAGCUAGUUGGUAAGGUAACGGCUUACCAAGGCGACGAUACGUAGCCGACCUGAGAGGGUGAUCGGACACACUGGAACUGAGACACGGUCCAGACUCCUACGGGAGGCAGCAGUAGGGAAUCUUCCGCAAUGGGCGAAAGCCUGACGGAGCAAAGCCGCGUGAGUGAUGAAGGGUUUCGGCUCGUAAAACGCUGUUAUUAGGGAAGAACAAACGUGUAAGUAACUGUGCACGUCUUGACGGUACCUAAUCAGAAAGCCACGGCUAACUACGUG